rnacentral:rRNA from 1 species
UAGGGAAUCUUCGGCAAUGGGGGGAACCCUGACCGAGCAACGCCGCGUGAGUGAAGAAGGUUUUCGGAUCGUAAAGCUCUGUUGUUAAGGAAGAACGAGUGUGAGAAUGGAAAGUUCAUGCUGUGACGGUACUUAACCAGAAAGGGACGGCUAACUACGUGCCAGCAGCCGCGGUAAUACGUAGGUCCCGAGCGUUGUCCGGAUUUAUUGGGCGUAAAGCGAGCGCAGGCGGUUAGAAAAGUCUGAAGUGAAAGGCAGUGGCUCAACCAUUGUAGGCUUUGGAAACUGUUUAACUUGAGUGCAGAAGGGGAGAGUGGAAUUCCAUGUGUAGCGGUGAAAUGCGUAGAUAUAUGGAGGAACACCGGUGGCCAAAGCGGCUCUCUGGUCUGUAACUGACGCUGAGGCUCGAAAGCGUGGGGAGCGAACAGG